rnacentral:lncRNA from 1 species
UUCUCACGAGAUCUCAUGGUUUUAUAAAUGGCGGUUUCGGCUUUUUGGUCUUUCCUGCUGCCUUGUGAAGAAGGUGCUUGUUUCUUCUUUGCCUUCUGCCAUGAUUGCCAUGUGAAUCGCACCCCUGGAACUGUGCAGGGCCCACCUGUGUGGCCACACGCAGUGACCCUGAGCAAAGGAGUGACCACAGAAGUGCAUGGCAAAGCAGAAAGGUGUGACGUCUUGGAGGACGCGGGAGGAAAGCACGCCCAGCGGACAGGAGCCAUCACGCGGCUGCGGGCUGCUGCUGAGAACCUGGCGUGGGCCACCGUCGUCAGCAGCGUGGAGGGAGGCAUUUGCCCAGGAAGGCUGUGCCUGUGGCAGAGACUCAUGGCUCCGGCCUAUAACAAGGGCCAUGUACAUCUUGCAGCCUGGUGGAGGCCGUGGAACACCAUCCUGCAGUUCUGGGUCCCCUGACAACUGAAUGUAGCACCCACCAGCUCUCCUGGAAGGGCCUUCUCACUCAGAACCAACCUUCAGCUCAAUUGCUUCCCACUCUGGAAGGAUGCUGGGGAGCCCCGUCCAGAACCCCAGCCUACUCCCAGUCCAGCAGCUAUUUCUUUCUUGUGUUUCAAGGAUUUGCAGCCAGAAGCUCCCAUUCCUUGGAGUCUCAGAGUGAUCAGCUUUUCUGAGCUGUAGGUUUUGGAAAAUAUGGCUUUCUUGAACUUGGCCACAAAACCAUUUGAUUUUAUAGGCCAAGGAGCCCCCUUGAGAAACAGGCACAGACAGGACCGGCGAUUUGCCAAAGUCUGGUCUGACCUGCGUGAGUGUUUGCGGUGCCUUCCUCUCUGUGACAGUCCUCAUGGUUUAGAUAGAUUUUUCUGCCUUGUUGCUCCAAAUUAAACAAUCACUACAUUUUAUUUAAACAAGUUUGUGUUUGAAGGGCACUGUGGUACAUGAGGAAGAUCCCUGGGCAUUUAUUAAUUCAUCUGUGUGAGUCUGUUCUCAUGCUGCUAAUAAAGACAUACCCGAGACUGGGUACUUUAUAAAGGAAAGACGUUUAAUUGACUCACAGUUCAGCAUGGCUGUGGAGCUGUCAGGAGACUUACAAUCAUGGUGGAAGGGGAAGCAAACAUGUCCUUCUUCACAUGGCAGCAGCAAGAAGAAGUGCUGAGUCAAAGGGGGAAAGCCUCUUAUAAAACCAUCAGAUCUCAUGAGAGCUCAAUAUCAUGAGAACAGCAUGAAGGUAACUUCCCCCAUGAUUCAAUUACCUCCCACUGGGUCCCUCCCACGACAUGUGGGGAUUAUGGGAACUACAAUUCAAGAUGAGAUUUGGGUGGAGACACAGCCAAACCAUCCAUAUCAUCCAUCCAUCCAUCAUCUGCCCAUCCUUCUCUCAUCCACCCUAUAUCCAUCCAUCCAUCAUCCAUCUGGAGUGGUGAGACAGAUGAAGAGUUGCCCACCUCACAGAGUGUGCAGGGUCGUGGGGAGGGUGACAGUGGGUAUUUUAGCUGGGGUUAUCAGGGUGGGUUUCUCCAAUCAAGUGUUUUGAUCUGAGACCUGAAGAAUGAUAAGGCAUCAGCCACUCAGGAAACAGGACAAACUCUGUGGCUUCUUCUUGCCCAUACCCCGGGAGACCAUUUUGAAGUGUUGGACUCUUUUCCCUCCUUGCCGUUGGUGUCACUUUUAUGUCCUGGCUGUCCUCUCUCCCCUCCUCUUUGCUGUCCCUAAAUCUUUGUGACAAGAUGUUUAGAGGAAAGUGGUGCAGGGCUGAGACACAACCCAGGCCCCUUCCCUUGUCCUGCCCUCCAUAGCAGGUGCAUUUAAUCUUCAAGGCUGCAGAAUGGCUGCACUGCUUCCAGGUACUGCAUACACAUCCCAGGCAGGAAGAAGGCAGAGGGGACGGAGAAGCCAUCUCACUUAGAUUCCCUUCCCAAGGCCUGCAGGGUUAAUCUGCAGGGAAGGCUCUGAGCUGAAGGGAGUUCUCAGCAGGGCUGUAGGUGGCAGGAGUUUGGGAAUCACAGAGCCUGGACAUCCAGUCCCUUCAAAUCAGGCUUAUGAUUCACCAAUGUCCCAGCUGCCUCUAACAAGACUCACUGCUCAGAAGACAAGCUGAAGAGCCCCCUGGAAGUGGCACAUUCCCAGCAAAAGCAGCUCAAAAGGAUUAGGAAGGAGAGGCAGCAUGCAUUCCAACCCUGUUGGGCUUCUGGCCCAAGGCCUGCGUAUGUUUACAAGCCCGGCUCACACCUUUGUGAUCUGUUGCUCACUGGGGCCGAUGUGUCUUGGGAGCCACUGAAUCUGUUAGGGACCAUGUUUCUCCGGCAUGGUCCUUGAGUUGCUGGCUUUGAGCUGUUGGCUUUGGAAGGGUUGGCUGGGCCCAAGCAUUCACAGCCUGGGAACUGCACGUGAAGAGAAAUGGAGCUUUGAUCACAAGAUGUGAAAUUUGUCAUCUCUUUCCCCACGUGGACAUUCACUCAAGCCUCUCCCUCCCUGUUCCUUUAAUAACAUUUAUUUUAACCAG